GAUGAACGCUAGCGGCAGGCUUAAUACAUACAAGUCGUGGGGCAGCGCAGUGUAGCAAUACAUGGGCGGCGACCGGCAAACGGGUGCGUAACACGUACGCAACCUUCCCGUUACUGGGGAAUAGCCCAGGGAAACUUGGAUUAAUACCCCAUAUUAUAUUGAUUGGGCAUCUAAUUAAUAUCAAAGCUUCGGCGGUAACGGAUGGGCGUGCGGUUGAUUAGGUAGUUGGCGGGGUAACGGCCCACCAAGCCUACGAUCAAUAGCUGAUGUGAGGGCAUGAUCAGCCACACGGGCACUGUGACACGGGCCCGAAUCCUACGGGGGGCAGCAGUAAGGAAUAUUGGGCAAUGGACGAAAGUCUGACCCAGCGAUGCCGCGUGGAGGAUGAAGGUCCUCUGGAUUGUAAACUUCUUUUUUCUGGGGCGAAAACCGGUUUUUCUAAACCAUUUGACAGUACCAGAAGAAUAAGCACCGGCUAACUCCGUGCCAGCCGCCGCCGUAAUAC
rnacentral:rRNA from 1 species